AAUCGAUGGGGGGACGCAGUAGGAUAGGCGAAGCGUACGAUUGGAUUGUACGUCUAAGCAGUGAGAUUGAGUGUUAGGCAAAUCCGGCACUCUUAAGAUUGAGCUGUGAUGGGGAGAGGAAAUUGUUUCCUCGAGUCGUUGAUUUCACACUGCCGAGAAAAGUCUCUAGAUAGAUAAUAGGUGCCCGUACCGCAAACCGACACAGGUAGUCAAGAUGAGAAUUCUAAGGUGAGCGAGCGAACUCUCGUUAAGGAACUCGGCAAAAUGACCCCGUAACUUCGGGAGAAGGGGUGCUCUUUAGGGUGCAAGCCCAGAAGAGCCGCAG
rnacentral:rRNA from 1 species